AGCAGUAGCCGCGGUAAUACGAAGGGUGCAAGCGUUAAUCGGAAUUACUGGGCGUAAAGCGUGCGUAGGCGGUUUGUUAAGUCUGUUGUGAGAUCCCCGGGCUCAACCUGGGAAUGGCAAUGGAUACUGGCAAGCUAGAGUGUGUCAGAGGAUGGUGGAAUUCCCGGUGUAGCGGUGAAAUGCGUAGAGAUCGGGAGGAACAUCAGUGGCGAAGGCGGCCAUCUGGGACAACACUGACGCUGAGGCACGAAAGCGUGGGGAGCAAACAGGAUUAGAUACCCCCGUAGUCCCUGUCUCUUAUAC
rnacentral:rRNA from 1 species